CACCAUGCACAUGCCUAGUAUUUGUGUAUAGAUUUGGCAUUUAAAUGAUGGGAUGUAUGGACAUAUACACACACAUACUGACACAGAUACAUGUACACAGUCAGAGCUGGGUAACCCAUAAGGUGCAUAAGCCGAAGGAUAGUGCAGCCAGAGGAGAUGGGAGUGAGUGCGGCAACUCCGGCAUGUGUACGAGCUGUGCUGUGAUGAGCCGCACAGGAAUAUUAAUCCGCAUCUGCAAACAGUGACA